GAUCCUACGGGAGGCAGCAGUGGGGAAUUUUGGACAAUGGGGGCAACCCUGAUCCAGCCAUGCCGCGUGCGGGAAGAAGGCCUUCGGGUUGUAAACCGCUUUCGGCCGGAACGAAAUCGCCGGGGAAAACAUCCCCGGUGGAUGACGGUACCGGAAGAAGAAGCACCGGCUAACUACGUGCCAGCAGCCGCGGUAAUACGUAGGGUGCGAGCGUUAAUCGGAAUUACUGGGCGUAAAGCGUGCGCAGGCGGUUCGCUAAGACAGGUGUGAAAUCCCCGGGCUUAACCUGGGAACUGCGUUUGUGACUGGCGGGCUGGAGUGCGGAAGAGGGAGGUGGAAUUCCACGUGUAGCAGUGAAAUGCGUAGAGAUGUGGAGGAACACCGAUGGCGAAGGCAGCCUCCUGGUCUAGCACUGACGCUCAUGCACGAAAGCGUGGGGAGCAAACAGGAUUAGAUACCCUGGUAGUC
rnacentral:rRNA from 1 species